ACGGGGGAUCUUGUAUGAUUAUGAAAUAAAAAUGAUUUGAUACAAGGUCAUUAUUAAGCCGUCCAAUUCCGCACAAGUUACUAGCCAGGGACCUUCUGGUUUGGGCCACGGUGUCACUAACCCGAACCAGUUGUGCCGCCAUGCAUGGAAGCUCGAAGACCAAAUGCGGUGGUUUUGGGGCUUUCAGGGCACCGGGGUCUAAAGACAUUAAUUAACCCAAUUUGCUGUCAAAAUGUCAUCGAAGUGACAAAUGUGACGUAUCAUAAACCAUCCACUGAAAGGCUGCGCACCAAAACCCCAUACCAUUUAUGACUUUCCACAUUUUGACCAUUGGCUACAACGACUUAAAUUUCACUUUUACGGAAUUACGAUUGCAAUAGCUCAUCCCUUUGCGCCAUUUCACAUGGCAUUUUCCUCAAAAUACAUUCUCCAAUAAUAAUACUAAAACUUAUUUCAUAGGCAAAAUAGCAAUGCUCUUAGUUUUCGCACAUUAGUCAGUAUGAUCUCCCGAAGCCAAUCGUUAAAGGGAGGAGCCAAUACCCAUAGUCAAUGAUGCAAGAAAAAAAAGCAAAAGAAAAAUUAAAUUAAAAAAAAAAAAAGAAACAGAGGGAAAGAGAAGAAGGAUGAGAACUUCUACAAUUGCAACUACAGUUCAUGACUUUUUUUUUAACCAUAAUUAACGUCGUUCUAUAUAUAUAUAUAGUUUAAGUAGUACAUAAAGGUGCUAUGGUUGUGUUUAUAUUUUGACUCCGUAUGGAUUAAAUAUUAUUGAGAAUGUUUUUGAAAAAUUUUGUUUAGAUUAUAUUUUUCUGAACUUUUUGUAGAAAAAUUAUUGUAACGAUUUAAUAUUGGGAAAAUGGUCAAAUUCGUUCCUAAACUUUUUUUAAAUGUUGAUUUAAUCCCUAAUUUUUGUUUUCGGCCAAUUUGAUCCCUAAACUUAUAUUAUGAUUUCAAUUAAGGAUUUUUACGGCGGCGCAACCAGAAAAAUCGAUCAAACUUCUUAUUAACCAAUUAAACAGGGGUAUUUUAGGAACUUUAGAUAUCUCAUCCCUCUAUCAUUAAUAUCCACCGCUUGCCACCCAUCUAUUCUUCUUUCAUCCCACCUCUCUUUACCCUCCCUCUAUCAUGUCAGUAAUUAUGCCUGCCAUUCCUAGUGUUUGCCUGGUUCAUAUUCAAUCCAUUGUGGCAUGACUUCUUCACGCUUUAUUCAUCACCGAACAAUUAAAAGUUUUGAAAUCCCAUUUACCGACGUUCUCUUCGGGGGAUUGGGGAUUGUGGGAAGUGGGAACCAUUUGCCAUCAAGUUAGCUUAAGUCGUUGGUUAAGCAACAAAAUUCCAUCUCGAAGGAAUCCAAUCGCAAUAACUAGUUUUUCUCGUCUCAGAAUGAUCAAACAGGGAAACAAAUGAUGAUUAAGGAAAAUAAUGGAUAAAUGUAAUCCAACAAUUUGUCCAUUUAGAUUAUAGGAUUUGAAGGAAAGAUCUAAUGAACGAGUUAAUUGGAAACACAUAACUCAAAUAAGAGUUCUGCCUUUUUUUUAUUACUUUGGCAAAAGAAGAAAUUGCCACAAAACACUUGCGUACAGUUUUGGGACAGAGUGCGCCUGCCGGAACAAACCUCCCCCCCUCCCCACAAACACAAAAAAAACAAAACAAAACUCCCAAUUCCAAUUACUUCUCCAAAAAUAUUACCAACCAAAAGAAAAAACGGGGGAAAAAUGAGAGUAAAAGUAAAGUAGUAGCUGCUGCUCCACGUACCAGUAGAAAAAGGGCCUGAAAAAUCAGCUAAGCAUUAGAUCUAGGAGAGUGAUACUGGUGACUUUCUUAUCGCAAGAUUUUUUGAAAUUAAUUGCUUGGCCCGCUAUUUAGCAAUCGGAUCCAGCCAAGAAGCUGACUUGUUUCUCUUUGUUAUGAUUUUUUUUUUUUGUCUUUUUCCCUCGCUAAGACCAGGCAAACACUAGGAAUGGUUUUUUUCCCUCGUCUCCUCCUUCUCUCAGUCCACCUCUCUUUCCCCUCCCUCUAUCAUGUCAGUAAUCACCAGGCUAAGAACAUGCAAACAUUAGAGGGAGGGAAAAGAGAAGAAUGCGGGAGGGAAAAGAAAUGUGGGGUGAGAGAAGAAGGAGGAGAUAGGUGGCAGACGGUGGAGGUUGAUAAUAGAGGGAGGAGAUAUCUAAAAUUUCUAAAAUACCCAUGUUUAAUUGGUUAAUAAGGAGUUUGAUCGAUUUUUCUGAUUGCGCCACGGUAAAAAUCCUUAAUUGAAACUAUACUAUAAGUUUAGGGAUCAAAUUGGCCGAAAACAAAAAUUAAGGAUUAAAUCGACAUUAAAAAAAAGUUUAGGGACGAAUUUGACCAUUUUUUCUUUAAUAUUUAUGAGGUAAAAAAGUAAUUGAAAAAUAUAUCCAUAAAAAAUAUAACAAUUUUUUUAAAAAAAAUUACAAUCCAAACACACACUUAACAUAGCGUGUAUACAAAAAAUUUGUUCUCUUAACCAUGUAUCAAUGUAGACUUGCCACUUACAUGGUCGCUUCUAUGGUGGAAAGUAGGUUGACCUGCCCACCGUAGGCACAAAGAGUGCUAGAAGGACAGCUCAGCACAAGCAUCUCUAUCCAUGUUUUUGGGGCCCAAUUGAGAGAAGGUGACCGGCAAAGCCUAUUAUCAUCUGAAGGAGCUAAGAGCAGAUACUAAUAUAAAUUGGGUUGGGUGGUUAAAUAAAUUAGUGAAACCAUAGAUGCUAUACUGGAAUAACAAUAAUAGCAAAAGACCCUAUAAGUGUAAAUUUUGAUUUUUACUUUAUCAUCAAUUGCAUUUUUUGCUUGCUUGUUUCAAUGGAUUUGCUAUCAUUAGAUAAUCCUAUCACAACAAAAUCUUUUAAUUCAGCACUUACUUUUAAGUGUACAUUUUGAUUUUUACUAUGAUUUGAUUAUCCUUAUCAUUAGAUCAUUUUAAUAUUUAAAAAUUCUCAAAUUUUGGCACUAAUUUACUGGUCAAAUUUGUGAUUUAUAGUUUGUCAUAUCCAGUACAACUAGUUGCAGAGUUAGAAUUUAAAUUCAUAACCAUCUAGUUAUUUUAAUAGUUCAAACGUUCAAUUUUUGAAAUUUUGUAUUAUGUGAUUUAUGUUUAUGAUUAUUUUAUCUACAAUCUCAAUUCUAUUUUCUUGGUGUAUUAUGUUAAUUAUAUUUAUAAUUACUCAUCUACAAAUUUGAUAUCGAUUUGAAAGUUACCAUGUUUCGUAUAAGAUUACUUAUCUAAUUUCUAAAUUAAAAUUAAAAUCUACCAAGUCAAUUAUGUCACGAUUCUGGUUUUUUGUAACACUAUGUUAAUUAUGUUUCUAAGUAUUCAUCUACAAUUUUGAUUCCAAUUAAAAAAAUCACUAUCUAUGAGGACUUAGUUAGAGGGAUCGCUGUUAGUAUAAACUUUUUAAUAUCAUUUUCUAAACUUUCAAUUUUAUCCUUAGGGAAAAACUUUUAAUUUUUGCUCUAAUUGCUUAAUCACAUUUUGCCAAUAUAACUACCCUAAGUAUUGUAAUUACCAAAUUACUAUAACCUUAUGAACCAAAAUUUUUCAAUAAAUUAUUGUGAAAAAUAAAAUUUUUAUAAAAUUAAUUCCUUUUAAUUAUUUAUGUAUAUAAUUACUCAUCUACGCGAACUAACAAUUAAAUUUAAUCCUUAAGAUUGGAGUACACAUAAAUACAUUUAUGGGCUUUUAACUUACCAAAAUUGCCCUUUAAAUACAUUUAUGGCCUGGGAGCUGCUCCCCAGCUGAUGCCAAUUUUUGGGUGCAAACAAGUGCCCAUAUGUUGUCGAGGAGCUUGCUUUUUAUUUCUCAUUGAAAUAGAAGGGAACCACAUAAUCAACCACUUCUACCCACCUGGUGUCCAGUAGUUCAUUUAAUAGCUAGCUCUUGCCCAGCCCCGCAAUGAUGUCUUGGCCAAAUUUCGUUUGCUCUUCCUACCAUGCACAGAUGCAGGGACGGAGCCAGAAAUUUAUUUUUGGGGGGGCCGAAGUGUAUUAAAAUUUUUUUUUUGUGACGAAAUAAAUAUAUUUAAUAAGUAAAAUUUAGAAUCAAUAAUUAUAAAAAUAAUAAAAACAUAUAAUUAUAUGGAGAAUGAUUAAAAAUGGUAGCUCUGCAGGGAGGAUCUGGAUAUGUUCGAGGGGUACGAUAUCAGAAUGUGAGAGUAGAUGACGUUUCAAAUCCCAUUAUCAUUGACCAAUUCUACUGUGAUUCGCCGACGCCUUGCCAGAACCAGGUAUGAUUCACCCUCUAGCUUCAUGGUUUUCCAGAAUAGCUGGUUAAUUGGGAACCAGACGGACUUUGUAUUUUUCUGCUUCUCUUUUGGUGAAUAAACUUAUUGAAAUUGAUACUAAAAAUUCGACAAAAAAAAAAAAAAGCUGCCAGGCAAUUGUUUAUACUACUCAUCCUUAAAAUAUCCUAGACAACGAUCUUUAUAUCAGAGUUCUGCAGUUGAAAUAAGUGAAAUCAUGAUACAAGGAACAUUAGCGGGACUUCCAAAAGCUAAAACGCCAUGAAAUUGCAUGCAGCGACAACGUUCCUUGCAGCCACAUAUGUGCUGAACAACAUCAACCUAGAAUCUAGGAGAUUGUACGCGUAGAGACUUCAUUUGCCAACUUCUCCUGCCAUAGGGUUUUGGGUUAAUGGAUACGUUGCACCUCUGGACAUGUGCUGACACUCCAUCAGACAAAGUAAAACAUACUUAUCAAAGAGAAAGCUGAGCUUGCCCUCUGCGGAAAUGGCUGGCGCUGGCCGUCGGAAUCCCCUAUAUAUAGGGGGUUUUCCGGCGGCUUGGGGGGGGCUUAAGCCCCCACCAGCCCCCCCCCCCCAUAAAUCCGUGGCUGCACAGAUGAGUCAGCUUUCCACCAUAGACGGAACCCCACUUACAUUACACCUGUACCUCCUAGCUAGCUACGAGAAGAAGCACUGCUGUAGUUAAAUUUGGGACCCAGGGUGAGGGAACAAAAAGGAACAACUGAGGUUUGGAGUAAUGGUUGGAGGGCGACGGGUGAGACCCAGGCAAAAUGUAGUGAAGUACUGAUAUCCGGACGACUGCCCCACUGCCGUGCCUGGCCCCUGACCCGGAGGCAGAGCGCGGUAGGCCCGUGUCUGUGUCAGUGAGCAAUUGCUUCUUCCUGCACGGCCUCUCACAUUUCAUUGAAUGUGCCAGUGUUUUAACCCUUCCGCAAAUUACAUUUUUCUCUUAGUCACGUGUUCAAAUUACCCUUUAGUAUUUCUUUUCGGUUUUUUUUUUCUCUUUAGAACUCAAAAAAUAGCAAGCCAUGAAAAUUGCAGCAUUUUUCAUGCUAGCUGCUAUUUCUAUGUAUUUUUUUAUUUAUUCAUUUCUUAAUCUUCCAUCCCUCUCUACGGCAUUUUCACUCCAACUGUCAUCAGACACAUAAUUGAAAUUUCGAGUCUCACAAUGUAAUAACUAUUCUAUUCAUGUAUGUCGUAUUAUAUUAAUUAGGAGUUUAGGCCCGCCAGCUAAUAGAGCUUGAGAUCGAUCAAGAAACAUAAACAUAAGCAAUGGAACUUGAUUUUUAUGCGUGCUCUAGAAUUCUCCAUUAAUUACCAACUAGACAACGUGUCCGUGCUACUAGUGCAUUUCAUUUUGAGGCCCUCCACGGAAAUAAUGCAAGAAAUUAUGGUGAGCAUCGAAUUACUGAACAUAAAAUUCUAGAUACAAGGCGAGUUUUCCUUGCCAUACUAUUGGAUUCUGGAAUUUUCAUAUAAAGUUGGAAGGCGGUGGCUCAUGCAUGCACGGCUGACUAGUCAGCCGGAGGAAUUAGUAUCGGUAUCACAUACAUGCAUCUGCAACCAAUGAAUGAAUGGAAGAUAUUUCCAGUACUCCCCCGUCUGGCAAUAUUUCGGUCAGCAAGGGGGGUUGUUUUAUUAAGUAUUAAGCUCGUCAUUAGAAUUUCCACACCACCUAAUGCCAUGAUUCACGAACAUAAUUCUCAAAAUUAUUUUCAUACUAUUUUCCUAUAUCACAUUCUUAUAAGUAAUGACAAAUUUAAUGCCAAAAGUCAAAACAACGUGUUUAGGCAUCCCAAACCUAAAUAUAAGGAGACUGGGAGUCGUGGUAAGUGGUGGCUUUCUCAUUGGUCCAUAGUGAGUAGUAGUUUUGUGCAAUUUUUGUUAUAAUAGUAGCAUUUCCGUUUCUUUUAUUUUUGAGUAUUUGGAAAAAAAAAAAACAACAACAACAGCUUAGUAGUGGCAUUUUUCUUGUUCAUAUCCGUUUGGAUUUUUCUUUUUUUUUUUUAAAAAAAAACAAGUUUUUCAAAUACAAUAUUACAGUAACACAAAUUAAAACAAGUCAAAAAAAAUCUUUAAAAAAAGUUUUUUAUAUACACUGGUACAGUGAAAAUUUUCAGAAACACAUAAAAAAAAAAUAGGUCAUCCAAACUUGAAAAAGUGAUCAUGCAGUAGUGCACAUAAAAAUAAUUCCUGAAUGAAUGAUGUUUUUAGUUGAUGCCUCCCUUACAUUGCCGUUACUUCCCCCCCCCCCCCCCCCCCCCCCCCCCCCCCCCCCCCCCCCCUCCCCCCCCCCCNNNNNNNNNNNNNNNNNNNNNNNNNNNNNNNNNNNNNNNNNNNNNNNNNNNNNNNNNNNNNNNNNNNNNNNNNNNNNNNNNNNNNNNNNNNNNNNNNNNNNNNNNNNNNNNNNNNNNNNNNNNNNNNNNNNNNNNNNNNNNNNNNNNNNNNNNNNNNNNNNNNNNNNNNNNNNNNNNNNNNNNNNNNNNNNNNNNNNNNNNNNNNNNNNNNNNNNNNNNNNNNNNNNNNNNNNNNNNNNNNNNNNNNNNNNNNNNNNNNNNNNNNNNNNNNNNNNNNNNNNNNNNNNNNNNNNNNNNNNNNNNNNNNNNNNNNNNNNNNNNNNNNNNNNNNNNNNNNNNNNNNNNNNNNNNNNNNNNNNNNNNNNNNNNNNNNNNNNNNNNNNNNNNNNNNNNNNNNNNNNNNNNNNNNNNNNNNNNNNNNNNNNNNNNNNNNNNNNNNNNNNNNNNNNNNNNNNNNNNNNNNNNNNNNNNNNNNNNNNNNNNNNNNNNNNNNNNNNNNNNNNNNNNNNNNNNNNNNNNNNNNNNNNNNNNNNNNNNNNNNNNNNNNNNNNNNNNNNNNNNNNNNNNNNNNNNNNNNNNNNNNNNNNNNNNNNNNNNNNNNNNNNNNNNNNNNNNNNNNNNNNNNNNNNNNNNNNNNNNNNNNNNNNNNNNNNNNNNNNNNNNNNNNNNNNNNNNNNNNNNNNNNNNNNNNNNNNNNNNNNNNNNNNNNNNNNNNNNNNNNNNNNNNNNNNNNNNNNNNNNNNNNNNNNNNNNNNNNNNNNNNNNNNNNNNNNNNNNNNNNNNNNNNNNNNNNNNNNNNNNNNNNNNNNNNNNNNNNNNNNNNNNNNNNNNNNNNNNNNNNNNNNNNNNNNNNNNNNNNNNNNNNNNNNNNNNNNNNNNNNNNNNNNNNNNNNNNNNNNNNNNNNNNNNNNNNNNNNNNNNNNNNNNNNNNNNNNNNNNNNNNNNNNNNNNNNNNNNNNNNNNNNNNNNNNNNNNNNNNNNNNNNNNNNNNNNNNNNNNAAAAUUUAGGUAGGGACCAAAUUUGAUCAACGUCAAUUUGUAAGGGACGCAAAAUUACACUUUUAAAAAUGAAGAACAAAAAAAAGUCAUUUUGUAAAAUAUAAAAAAUAUUUUGAACGAUUUUUCCUUAAAAUUAAUUGAGAAUAUGUACUAAAUCCACUUAUUUUAUCUUUUGCAUAAGUAACAUGACAGAAAAAUGGAUUUAAACCAAUUUGCAGUCAAGUUCAACAAUCCAAUUGGAACCUCAUUUACCAUAUUCACAUGCAUCAUCCCUUCUUUUUUUUUUUUAUACAGUACAUAUUUUUUGGCUUGCAAAUGAAGAGAGUCAAAUGCAAAGUAUAGUGAGCGUGGAAAAUUUUCUCGGUCUUCCGGAGGCAGGCUCCGUAGACUUUCUUCAUUGAUUUCUUCUCUGAGGCUCCGCCAGGCUUACUGGGUUCGAGGUUGUACGGCGAACUGUUUGGCAUUCCGUGCCAGCCCCUAUGCGACAGGCGACUGGGUCAUCAGUCAACACUAUAUUCCGAUAACUGUAAUAUAUAAAAUUGGAAAAUGCUACUCUAUUAAAAUAAAGUGAAAGAUAACUCAGCUGCGCGAUGGUAAUAUAAAGUCGAAAAAUGUUACUCUAUAAUUUUUUUUUUACUUUAUAAAUUUUUAUAUUUAUAUUUAUCGCUUAAACUUGUAAUUUUUAAUUGCUUCUUGCAGGUAAAUUUUUGGUGUUUCAUCUUUAGAACGAGUUUCACUGAUAGAGAGUUUUUCUACACAAUUUUCUCUUAUGUCCAGAUAUGCCCAACGGUGGACGGAGUAACAACUAACAACUAGGAGUAUUUUUAUUUUUAUUUAUAUUUAAAAAAAAGAACAACUAAAAUUAUUAGUAAAUCAAAAGUGCCAAUUUUUUAUACAUUAUUUGUAGUUUAAAUUCUAAUAUAUAUAUUUUUAUCGAUUUUGCUUAGUUUUCACUUUACACCCCUAGUUUCUUGCAUGCAUCACUUUGUCCCCUUAACCUUAUAAUCUUUUUCUUUUUGAGUAACAAAAUUUAUUUUAUUUUAUUUAUAAACACUCAAAGUUAAACUCGAUUAUCUAGUGUGUUGUAUGUGCUCUUUCCUAGUUACCAAAGCAUAGAAAAUAGCACUUGAUUAUGAGUGUAACUUACAAGAAAGGUUGCUUAAAUUAUUUUUUCUAUUUUCAAACUAAUCAUAACUAAUCGUACAUUUCUAACAAGAAAGAGUAAAUUUUUUGAUAUAAUAAGAAGGUAAAAAGUUACUUACUUUACAAGAUAAAAAAGAAAAAUCCAAGUGGACUUUGGGCUUGUUCAUAAAUGGGUAUAAGGACUUGGUUUUAACCUUUGAUUAUAAAACAAAUUAAGUAAACCUUUUAUACACUCACGGUGCAUACAUCAUCAUGAUUGGAAUUAUUAUGUAUUUAACGGUGAAAGUGUAUACACAAUCAGUGUGUAAAAGAUUAAUUCAAAAAGAAAUUUGAUUUAUUUAAAGACACAAUAAACUAAAAACUAAUAUUUUUUUGGGGGGGUUCACUUCUAACUGUAAUUUUGAGAACUAAAAGUAAUUUGGAACACGCUUUUUGUGAAGUCGUUUGAGGUUGGUAGUUGGUACUUAAAAAUCCAAAUAGACAGAGUGAAUUGAACAACUUUUCUCAAUCCCGUUCCACUCUAUACGAGGAUGAUAAGGGAGAAAUUUGUGAAAAAUAGGGGUGAACAAAUUGCAAAAAGGGAAAAUGAGGAAAACAGAAACAGAAAAGAGAAAAAGUCUAACUGUCGACCUUAGCUAAUUUUAAAAAGUGGCAGGACAUAUUGACCUUUGGAGGGAGACAGCCUCCUUCUCUCUCCGCGGUCUUCCCCACUCCUCCAUUUUUUUUUUUUUUUUGGGUUGUCUGGUGGAGCUACGUUCUUCUCGUAACCGCGUUUCUUCAGAUUUUUGCUUCAUCUUCUUCCUCCUUGAUUAGAUUUGCAUUUUGUUUAGUGAAUUUUAGUUUGUUUUCUUGAUUCAAUUAAGCUCCAUCUUCCUACGGUUGGUUGGUUCUCAUAGCUCGAAUAAAAUUUUAAAUUUUGCGAAUUGAAAUCCAUAAUUUCCUUGCCCAUGAACACCGGAGCGACCAUAUCACCGUACAAUGCAUGCCCACCACAUUGUCCUCUCCACUAACAAUGAAAAAGCCAACAGCCAGUUGGUUGCAAAACGCAUUUUCAUUCUCCUCGUCUUCCUCCACCAAAUCAACUUCCGAUGAUAGCAUAAUCAGCGGCCGCUACGCUGCAAAACCGUCUCUGUUCUCCAGCCGCGGUGGUCGGAGCGGCCGUCUGCUCACGCGAGCCAAAAAGCUCCGGCAUUUGACCGAUUGCGACGUCGAAUUCUCGCGCAGCACUCGGGCUUCUUUCGACGAUUCGCCUGCUAGAUUAUCUAUGGGCGCUUUUUCCCCAGCUGCUGCGGCUGCCGCUCCGCCGUCUCCUCAACCCCUUCCCUUGCCGGAAUUGCAGAUGUUGCUCCGUCGUGAUUCUAAAUCUGCUUCCGACAGGACAAUGUCAAAAAAUGUCCCUCUGCCGUCGCCGGGGGAGGCGCAUCAAAGGGAGUCUGGCGCAGAGGAGAAAGAAAAAGAGAAGAGCGAUUGUCUCAAUGGAGUUAUGACUAAUGAUGCAGCCACGUCGAGCAAUGCGGCUGGGAGGUAAAUAGGAAAAUAAAUUGAUACUUCUGGCUCACAUUCCAAGUAAUGAACGUUAAUGAUUCGUUUUAUUUUAUAUACCUACAAUUAAUCAUAAUUGCACUUAAAAGCUUGGUUUUUUCUUGCCCUUCACAAGCUCAGAAAUCUUCAGCAUUUUAUUUGGCUUAUUGGAGGCUGGUUAGACUAUAAAUAUCCUCCAUUCUUCACGGGUGAAUUUUUUAAAAAUGCAAUGCUUCGUUUCAAGCUUUAAAUGAGAUUCUGAAGAUGGUCGGUUGUGUACAUUUUCAGCUCGGUUGGAAUGAAUAACUAUUAAGAAUUGGUUGUUUAGGUACCAGAUUAUGGCAGACAUAUUUUUUCGUUGCACUGAUUAUACUCGUGCUGCUUUUUGGUUAGAGAGAGGAUUAGCAUGGUUAGUAUUUUUGGAAAUAUACUCAAUUGACAAGUGGCAAAGCUUCAAGAUUAGAGUUUUAACGAGAAAUUUUAAUUUAUUAGGAAGGUGCUACAGAGAUUGCAACGGAGAGAUAUAACACUAGUCAAAGGCAGCAGAAUAUGUCAACAACCUGUAAAUGUGGGUUAAUGCAGUUGAAAAUCCAGAUUUGGAUGCUCAAUCUAUUCUUAUCCAAUCAUUUAUUUUUUCAUACUUUAAGCUUAUCAAUCUAGAAUUUAUUUGCCUGAAACAUGACCUGUUCUACAUGUGGAUUUUCAAUCGUUUGAAAUUUUUAUUCUCAAACUCUUUGGAGCAAAAACCAAUACUAGGAGCAGAGAUCCUGAAGCCCAUCUGUUGGUUGAGUUGGAUGAAAAAGUUAUAAAGUUAAAUAUCUAGAAUUAUACACUUUUACUCCAUAGGGAUCUUUAACAAUUAUGUUUUUAAGAUAAUUGCAACAUUUGAUUUUUCAUUGCACCAUUUGCUGUGUCUUUCGUCAUACAACUAAACCACUCCAUUGGAUUUGCAUUCCUGAUGCCCUCUGAAUCUGGAAAAGCUUGACCUUUAUCGAUGUUGUUUUCAAAUCAUGCUUAUGCAGGUUAAUAAGCCAAGAUGCUCAGAAAAAUGUAGAAAAUACUGACAAUUGGUCAUCUAGGAAGUCACCUCCAAAGGUGAAUGGUUCAGAGAGAAAUCCCGAUAACUAUAGAAUGAGUACUCCCCUUAGUGCUCCUGCUAGUCCUUAUGCAAGUCCUGCACUUAGCCCACACAGAAAUGCUGGGGAUGUUUUGAAACCUCAGUACAUGACUCCACCGAGUCUUUUUCAAGUUUGGUCUGCACCAGAGAUGCCUUCUCUGGAUUCAACACUAGUUCCUGGAUUCUCCUAUCAAAGCUCCUCUGAGAUAGCUGCUUUUCCUGUAGAUAAUUCUUCACUGCCUAGUCCAAAAAUUAACCUCUCCAAAAGUCCUAAUGGGCCUGCAUCACCAUUGUGUAACAAGCUAUCAAGUGAGACCUCAGUGCCACGACAUGAUUGCAAUGCUCAAGCCAGUGUCAGUGUCCAUCCCUUACCUCUCCCUCCAGGAUUUGCCAUGGCUUCACAGCCUACCCUUAUUCCCCAGCUAACUCCUAAACUGGAUAUAGCUCCCAUCAAAAGUCAGUGGCAAAAGGGAAAGCUCAUUGGGCGUGGGACUUUUGGAAGUGUUUACGUGGCCUCCAACAAGUAUGGAAAUUCUGAACAUUUUUCCAAUUCUUUUCUAUUUUCUAUACAUUUGCUAGAUUGUUCUUUUUGACAGAAAAACUGGAGCUUUAUGUGCAAUGAAAGAGGUUGAAAUGUUGCCAGAUGACCCAAAAUCUGCUGAGUGCAUAAGGCAGUUAGAGCAGGUAAGUUUCGAGUAUGCAUUCUGUUGUGCUGUGUUUUACUUUGUUGGUCUUCUGCUUGAUUCUUUAGCUUGGUAAUUCAUAUUUGAAAAAUACAGAGUGUGCUGCUAAAUCCGACUUUUUCUGGCUGCUUCUAUUAGCUGAUAAUGACCAUCCUAUUGGCCAACACAACAUUUCAAGUUGGCAACUUUGAGAAUAUUUGUGUUCUAUCUGACAAAACUUUUAGGAAAAGCAUGAAAACUGCAUCCCAUCCAUCAUGUCCACAGUGAUAUUGGCAAGUAAACGACAAGAAAAUUAUUUGUAGUAGAAAAAAAAGUGUAUCAGUUACAGCUAUUAUUGUAAUUAAAGCAGUCACAGCUCCUUGUUUCUUUUCUGGUUAGCCAUGCUUCAUGAGAAUAUGCUAAUAAUUCAAUCAGUUGAAUGUACAACUUGUUUGUGCACUUUUUUAAGGGCAAAUUGUGUUCAUCUCUUUUCAAGGCAUUUGAUUAAACACACUUAACAGAUCACUCUUGAUUAGGUUUCAAACAAUAUUUUAGUGUUAUAUGUGUUCUGAUGACAUUUGUGGGGAAUACUACAUUUCCAUGUACUUGCAUGCCUAUUUUCUGAAGCAAAAUUAGUUUUUCCCUGCAUUUUGCCUUUUGUCUUUGAUGGUUUGAAAUUAAGUACCAAAAUUUUGGCUACAGGUUCCAUUUUCUACUUUUCAAGCCACAAAAUUGACUGUUUCUUUAAAUGUUAUAUCAUUGUCUCAGGAAAUUAAGGUUCUCAGUCAUCUCAAGCAUCCGAACAUUGUGCAAUAUUAUGGUAGUGAAGUAGUAAGUAUUCCAGUGGGCCAUUCAUUAUGCUCCUCAGUGACCUCUUUACAGGCCUUAAGGCAAUUUCUUGAUUCUGUAGGUUGGUGAUCGGUUUUACAUAUAUUUAGAGUAUGUUCAUCCUGGUUCAAUCAAUAAAUUCAUUCACGACCACUGUGGAGCAAUUACGGAAUCUGUUGUACGGAACUUUACUCGCCAUAUUCUUUGUGGGCUAGCUUACUUGCACAGUACGAAAACAAUACACAGGUAAAUUCAAUACUCCAAAGUCUGGUUUCAGGAUUUACUAAUGCGGCCAAGUGGAGUCUGGCGCGGUAGAUUUCCUGCUUCUUUGAUUUGCCAAUAAAUGGAUUGUAAUAAGGGGAGCCUUUCCACGCCUUGUGCAUCUGUUAUUAGAGAUUGUAUGAAGAUUUCAUGUUAUACUCUGCUGUAACCUUUGCCUGUUUUCUAUUUCGGGUGAUCCCCUUUUGAAUUUCUGUCGUAAGACCUACAUCUGAGUUUAGAGAUUUACUUCACAUAAAUUUGACCAUCACCGGAUUUUAUAGGGAUAUCAAAGGGGCAAAUUUGCUUGUGGAUGCUUAUGGGGUUGUGAAGCUUGCUGAUUUUGGGAUGGCCAAACAUGUAGGUGAUGAUUUCUGUAUCUACUACAGUUUGUAUCAUUUUGAAAUGAAAGAAGGGAAAUUAUUGUUUGUUAAAAAAGGCCUAUAUAUACAAAGAAUUUUCUUACUUGUUUUUUUGGAGUUUGCUGUUGAUUGAACUCUUCAGUCCUCAACACCCGCCCCUUUUCCCCCUCUCCCUCCCUCUCUCUCUCUCUCUCUCUCUCUUCCUGUUUUGCGGCCAGGCAAUGUAUUCAGCAUUCUCCUUAACUGUUGUAUGAACAUUGAUACUUGUUGCAUCAUAAUAUUUUGAUACAUCAUAUAUUGUUGGGUUAUGAUUUGGUUAAGGCAACAGCAAGGGUAGCUAGCUAGGAAAGCUUUGCGGUGUUGGAGGUGAGGAUUGCCUUAAUUCUUUCUACAAAAUCGACGUUAAGUUCAGUGUUUGGUGAGGUUGAAGCACAUUAUUUGAUCUUGGGACAUUCAUAAAAUAUGGUUAUAAAUUUUUAUGCUCUUUAUAAAAUAUAGUUGAAGCACAUUAUAUCAAUUAUAAAGAAUUUUUAUGCUCCUAAAGUAAAAACAAAAAGCUGUUGAGGAAUCAAACUUUGUGGAAAAAUAUCUCAGCUUGAACAUAUAGCAAGUUGUUAUAGAGCCUUUCCUUGCCAAUGAAACAUCAGUACUGCACUUUUUCAAGGUUGAAUUUCAUAGUUCCAGGGAACUGUAAGAUUAGAUCUGAGGUUUUGGUGGUACCAACGGAAGAAUUAUUGAUGUUGUGAUCAUGUCAUCUGAUGUCAUCUCUUCAUAUAUUGAAAAUUCUUUUGUUGCUAUUUACUUUGACUUCUUGUUGGCAGGCUAUUUCUGAUUUUUAUCAUGAUCAAACUUAAAGGUUUCUCUUUCUGCAGCUCAGCGGCCAUGCUGCUAAUCUUUCUUUAAAAGGUAGCCCAUAUUGGAUGGCCCCAGAGGUAUAAUCUUCUCCAAGAUAAUGUUUCUGAAAGCACAUUGUCUCGCCUUCUAGAUCUGAUAUUAGUUUAUUUCAUGCAGCUCUUGCAAUCUGUGAUGCAACAGGAUUCUAAUAGCGAUCUGGCAUUGGCUAUAGAUAUAUGGAGUUUGGGUUGUACAAUUAUUGAAAUGUUGAAUGGAAAACCUCCAUGGAGUGAGUAUGAAGGGGUAAGCUCUGAUGUUCAUUUUUAUCAUUGAAUUUACUUGAUAUUAGCUGAUUAAUAAGCUUGCUUUCUGGUGGUAGCUCCCUCAGAAUGUUGGAAAAUUCGCACAUUUUGUUUGCUUUUCUUGAUUCACUUCAAGUGCAGAAUAACAUUUUUGAAUAUGAUCUCUUUGAUUAAUUUUUUUGGUUGAUUAGCUGGAACCAUUUCCUUCCACUUCUUCCUUUGUUCUCUUUCAUGAUUGAAUUAAGCACAACUCAUUAAAUAGAGUUUGUCUUAAUUUCUCAUGAGAUUGUGUCGGUACCUUACACUAGCACCUAUAGGUUUUUAUGCCAUAGUACAGGGCACCUUAUGCAUGGUACUAACUAGCAUAGACAAAAAGAGUUGACUUACUAUCGUGUACCAGUGUCAGCAUGAUCUUCUUGUUGCAAUAUGUUAAAUAAAACUACUAAAAUCAAGAUUCCAAGUAAUUCUGUCCCCGUUUACAUUUAUAUUUUUCUUUUUCUCUAGAGGGAUGGAGGGAGGGAAGAAGAAGAAGGAUACAAUUAAUACAACACGUGUACUUAUGUUCCAUUUCCAUCAGAAAAUUUUGAUUCAAGUUUUAGUCUUUCAUUUGAGCUUGUAAUCUGCAGGCUGCAGCCAUGUUUAGGGUACUCAAAGAGACCCCUCCAAUACCUGAAAAUCUGUCAGCAGAAGGGAAGGAUUUUUUGCGUUGUUGCUUUCGUAGGAAUCCUGCAGAAAGGGCUUCAGCUAGCACAUUACUGGAACACCGUUUUGUUACAACCUCUCAUCCACCAGAUAUUUUAUCCUGCAGUCUGUCUCUUAGUGGGAUGAAAUUGAGGGUAAACUACUUCAGCACAUUGUCCUAAUGGAUGGCUUCUCCCGGUUUAUGGUUUAUUAUUGUUUAUGCUAUUAUGUGUUGACAGGAUGAUGCAAAUUCCCAAAGAGAGCGCUCAAACAGUAAGCUUGGUCAAGUCCCUGCAUACUCAGAUAUGCAUAUUGCCAAAGGAAAAGUGACUGACAAGUAAGAGUUACUCUAUGCUUUAAAAUGUUCAUUAAUAUUUUAUAUACCAUCUUCGCAAGUUUUUACUUUUACAAGCAGGUCUAUGUUAAUGCCAAAUCAUCUCUAAAAUCUUGUCAUUUCACCGCAUUCAUGUGAACCAUCUAUUGUAAGUGCUGACUACUGAGUUGACAGUUGAAUCAGUGUUAACUUUGAAAUGUCCUUGUGCUUCAGCUACAUUCAUGGUUCUCUUGCCCCAGUGAGAUUGGCCAACGACGUCGCUACAAAACUUUAACACUACAGGUGGUAGCCCUGUCAUUCACCUCAUUCAACAUUGGAGGUCCUUCCUAGUCCAUCUCCACACUUGGAUUCAAUUAUGUGAAGUUAUUCAUGAAGAGAGGCUAACAGUGAACCAUUACAGAAAUGGAAGGCGAUCUAACACUUGUUUUAACGUGGUUUUCCAUAAAGACCUCAGUUUACAGAUGCAUUGGAACUUAUUGUGCUCUUGUAGGUAGCUUGCAGCCAUAGGAAUUGCUGUCAGUAGGCUCUUUGCCUCUUUGUUUCUGUUCAUACUUUGAGAGAUAGAAGCACAAUAGUCAUAAGAGUUUGCAGGACCUGGGUUUUCAGAAGUAGGAGCUUGUGUCUAUUCACAAGGUGUAGGGCUUGAACAAUAUAGCAGCAACCAAAGCCCAGUUAUGAUUCUUCAGUCAGAGAAUUCAACAACGGGGUUCUUCUCUGAUGUGGAACGUUUAUUAUAAGCAUGCCGGGCCAGAGUUGAAAGAAUUGUAAAUAUCAUUUUGAAUAUUUGAUCAAGUCACUGUGCUCCUGCUCUUCAGGAUUUUUUCUAGCAAGACAAAAUUUACUUGUCAACUAAUCCACAGAUUAAAAUGUAGCCAGCAUGUUUGAAAGGGGUUGCUGUGUGUGUCCCACUUCCCAUCUGUGGCCCUCUCCGUGCGCCUCUGUUGUCGGAAGAUACUCUUUGGGAGGAAGAAGAUCUGCCAUUAUAAGAUCUGUGGAGAAUAAUAAGCCUUCUCCUUCUUGGACAGAUAAUAUCACAAAUUUGAGCUGUUGCAGCAACAAGUCAUGUGCCAUUUUUCGUUCCUAACAUUUUUGUUACUGAGGUGGAGGAUGCUGCAACUUUUUUUUUUUUUUAUUAUUUAUUUUGGGGGUAAUUAACUCUUUUUAGUGGUAUAGUGAAAACGUACACACUAGUGAGGGGGAUCCCUACAGCUAACACAGAAGUAUAUCAAACAUGCAAACCUGCAAUAAAAGCCUAUAACUGCCGGCGGACUAACACGCCGAGAAUCAACAAACGCAAAAAGAACUAGAAACAGGAAAUGUGCAGCUUUUUACAAAAGGCAUCUUGAUAUGUAUGCCUUGAACACCUUCCAGCCAGACGCCAAUUCUUCAAACAUCCUUCACAACCUGCUCAAUCACAACAAUCAAAGAACAUACAGUAAAAGCUUUUGACUUGGCCCAUUUGAAUUGUUAUCUUUAGGAACUUCUAUGGAAAAAAUUUGAUGGAGGUGAGAUAAAAAGGUAAAUAGAACAUACAUAUGUUUGGAGAAAACCUAAAAAUUUUCGUGUGUAAGCUCACAUUCCAAACAAGUAUGGAGCCACUACCGGGUGGAGGAGGGUGCAACCGGAGAAGCCUGUGAAGAUUUUUCACAGAGCUUUUGUAUGCGCGCCCGCCCAGUAGUUUAGUGGGAGCUAAUGUUUUGAUGACUGAUGCACAAACCACGAAGUCAGCAAUCCAUCUAAGCAUAUUUUGGUAAUCGUUCUAAGGAGCUAAUUGUUAAUUUCCCUUAACAAUUACAUAGGUUUGAUCAUAUUACAAAUUAAUUCCUAUAAUUUAUUCAAAUAACGGUCUCACCCUUUAAAUAAUCAAACAUUUAACAAAAACUCCUUUAAUGCCGAAAAUACCCUUUUUGAGGCCAUGUUGCAUUAAAAAAAAAAACAUAUUUUUAUUUUAUUAACCCUGAAACAAUCCAAAAAAAUAGAAAAAAGUUUUUGCUUAUUAUUUUAUAAAAAUCAUAUCUUUACUUUCAUAAAUAGUUUUGAAUCAAUAAUUAUUUUAAAUCUUAAAAAUGAAUAUUAAAAAUUAGAUAAAUUGAAAGAAAAAUAAAAAAGAAGCAAUUAUUUUAAAUCUUCAAGUAUGGUUCGAAUUUGUGGUUUAAAACCUGUUGCGGAGAGCACGGGACAUGUUUUCCUCAAUUUGAACCAUACUUCAGGAAUUAAAAUAAUUUCUUCUUUUUUAUUUUUCUUCAGGGUUAAUAAAUAAAAAUAUGUUCUUUUUUUAAUGCAAUAUGGCCUCAAAAAGGGCAUUUUCGGCAUUAAGGGGGUUUUUGUUAAAUGUUUGAUCAUUCAAAGGGUGAGACCGUUAUUUGGAUAAAUUAUAGGGAUUGAUUGGUAAUAUGGUCAAACCUCAGGGGAGGUAAAUGUAAUUAACCCUUAAAAUAUUUGUUUGUCCAUUAAACUAAAGAAGAGGAAAUAGCGCGCGAAGCGAACGUUAGGGACCUUCCUUCCAGGGCAAUCCGAGAAACGACAUCGUUCCGGGCAUGGCGUUUCGUUAUCGUGAAUUGUGUAAGAUUAGGUGGUCCCAGGUCAAAGUAAAGUCCACUCCGUCAAAACUACUACAGUUAACAAUGGUAAGAAUAAAGAAUUAAUUCUAAUUGAAUCAUCCGGAAAGGUAAGCGGGAAAGCCAUUGAUUAGGAAUCUAAAAAGUUAGAAAGUCCUCCCCACAAGCCACAACACAGCAACGGUAGUCACUAAUGCUACUGGCCCAUCAUCCAUAUCCAUCCACGCUUCUACGUCUUCACCGACAAAAAAGAGUGCGAGUUUUGAGAUGGAACCUCCCCAGGUCCAAGCAAUAGACGGCAACUACCCUCCACAGGAAGAUGUGCAGGACAAAGUUGUCAAUGAAUGGUACUUUUACUUCUCCAUUCUUGUUAAUCCUUUCUAGUUUCUUCUUGAAAUUCCGAUCAAUCCUUUCGAGUAAAAUUACAAGAUUUAAUACUGCUAGUUAGCUGUUGCCAUUUUUUUUUUUUUUUUUAAGUUUUUUGGUUCUUUUAAUGGGUUUUGUUUGAUGCAGUUGUUCUUGCUUCUAUGACUGCUCGGAUAGCUGUCUCGAGUACUUUUGCUGCUACGACCUCUGUUAGUUUCUAGGAUGCCACGGGAGUACGUUUACAGUUUAUCGACUUCUUUUGCUUUAGUUAUAAGAGCUGUCAUUUUUCUUGGUGUUCAACUGAAGGAACAAGUUCAUGGUCUUUGCUGAGAAAACUUGUUUUUAAGUGGCAUAUAAAAAUCUCUUCAGAUGAGGAAGUAAUCGGUUCUUCGUUCUUCAGAUCUGUUUAACUUUUUAUUUCUCUUUCGUUUUUUAUUUGUGGCUGAUAUGAUAUAUGAUCAUUUGCGUUGUGGAUAUUAUUGAUUGCUCGAAUCAUGGGAUUUAUUAUUAUUUUUUUCUUUGUCUUGAUUCUGAAACAAAAUAGCAUAGAAUUCGGCCGACCCAUUAGGAGCUUGUCGGAAAAAAUUCACUCCGACUUGUGAUGGAAAGAAAUAAAAGGGAGGAAUCCUGCAUGCACAAAUAAAAUAAGAAAAGGAUAGAUAAUAAAUCAAGAUUUAGAUGCUACUACUUCAUUCCUUUAUAAAUGCUUGGUCGACUGUGUAUCGCAUCGGUAGGGUACUAAGAUGGUUUUGAUGUAAACUUAAUUCUCAAUGUUAGUACCACCCGUUGUAAGGUAUUAGUACCAUUGAACUUCCAUGCAUGUAUCUUUAGAUUUGUAUAGAUGCAAAAAAAAAAGUGAAAGAUUGACGACAGCUUCCGAAGGCACCAAGUACCACCCGCAUCCAUUAUUGUCAUUUGCGCCUCUUAAAUGUGUAUGAUUCAUGCCUCAAUUCAUGGCCUCGAAAAUGGCCGGAUAUUAGGUAUAUCAAUCUAUUUGGAUAGCUCAAAUUUGCCAAAUCACUCGUUUUUCAAUCCACUUUUUUAUAUUCUUAAUCAUCUUUUUAUCUCAUCUCAUGUACAUUAUUAUAUCACAAAAAGUGUCAUAAUAAUUAUUUUAAAUAAUAUUUCAAACAAUACUUUAUCCAAAUGGCUGACGAGUAACUACUUAAAACAAUGAUUUUUAUCAUUUGUAGAAUAGAAAAUAGGAAUGUGACCGACGUUAUAAACUUUAAACUAUAAACCACUUUCGGCUGGGAAUUUCUUCGCAAAUUUAUGAUUAACUUGUCUUUCGCGAAUAUUUAAAAUCUUGAGGUAUGCUACUGGAAUCCUGUUACACACACACACACUUACAUUUUUUUCUGGGUAAAAAUUAAAUUUAAUUCCAUUUUCUUCCCUUAAGAGGUACAAGUGCAAGCCCGUCAUUUGUGAUAUGCUGUUGGAGUAGCGAUUUUAGCCCAAACUUCCUAUUGGGCCCCCUUUUUUUACCAGUCCGCUGGAGUUACUCCAGCCAUCUAAAUUCUAAUCUGCGAACUGAGAGUAAGGGUUCAUUUGGGGGAGUUGCGGAUUUGAACAGAAAAGAAAGGGAAAAAAGAGAGAGUUUGAUUUUCUUUUGUUUGUGAGUUUUUAGUAAGAGAGACAAGAAAGGAAAUGGAAGGAUGAAUAGUAGGCAAAAUUUUUCCUCCCAAAUUGGAGAGAAAGUUAGAGGAAGCUUGUGAAAAUUUUUUAAAAUACCUAUUUUAUCCUUAAAAAUAUCUUGAACAAAUAUUUAAUGACUUUUAUGUUCAAAAUCAUUCCACUAAUUCUCAAAACUCCUAAAUAACAUAACAAUCUCUUCUCUUCUCUCCUAACUUAAGUUUUCCCUUCUUCUCUUUUCUGUCCUAAACUCCCAAACCAAGCCUAAAAGUUCGAUCUAUAUAUAUCUCUGUUCGUCAAACUAAAUAAUAACCCUAAUCCGAAAUAAUGCUCAACCACUGAAAAUCACGUGCUUAAUGAAUCAAGAGUGGAUGUUGAGGCUAUUUUGAACAUAGCACAACUGACUUUUCAAAAACCACUCUUGAAAUUAGUGGCCAUGCAAGCAAAACUUGAUAAGAGACAUGUAACAUGACUCGAGAUAUAAGAGUGCAGUAUAAACUACUGGAGUACUUUUUUCUGUGUCUCAUUUGGAACAAAACACGAUACCAACAAAUUAUCAACAUUUUUCGUGGCCACUCUACAUAUCCCGGCCGUCAUGGUCACUUUUAAAUUAAUCAAAGUGGUCACAAUAGCAAGAAACUGAACCACAUCCAAUGUCCCUCGAUGCGAUGGUGCGUCUGCAUUAAUAAAAAUCUCCCAGUUGACCUGAAUAUUUGCACAAUUCCAACAUAGUCGCAUAUGAUUAUUGGCCUGUUCUCUUUGCACAUCAGCGAGAUCUUUCAUCUCAUUCGCUGAUCGUUUUGGUUUUGAGCAGAAGAUAUAUUGAUGCAACUAGAUUCUUAACAGGUAAGUUGCAAAUUGCAGCGCUUCUAGAUUCUGAACAGAUAAGUCACUACCAUAGUAGUAACAAAUGUGGAGGGAAAUGAUUCAGUCAGGAAAAAGCAGCAUUUCAGCACUGCACAGGCCACAGGUUGACGAGCUGCUCUUACCUGCGUAGAUUAAGUCUUCGUCGUCUCGUCAUCCAGUCUACUUAGCUAGUGCAAAAAAAAAAGUAGUCCUUUUAAUGAUGAAAAGAGCUCGGUCGGUACAGCUCUCUCAGCGCAAUAAUUGGGGAGACAAAUGCAGAGCACCAGCAUCCCAGUUUUUCCCCGUAGAAAAACUUUUUUAUGUCCGACUGAAUCUUGAGGUUUGAUUUAUGUAGGAAGAUAGUCUAUUAUUGAUGACUCGGUGUAUUGUGGAGAAAUAUAUGCCUCAUCCCAGCACUCAGGAUUUGUAUACUUAAAACACCUUGAGGUGGUGCACUGCUGACUGUUAUCUUCACUCCCAUGAGAGAAGUUGUGGCGUUCCGCCCAACUGGGUUGAAAAACUGGAACUUGAAAGUGACAUCUUACUUCUUAGUGACCUUGCCACUAUCCGCUCUCAAUUCUUUGUGAGGGAGCAUGCAUAUUACAACGAGCUGCUCCCUUCCGUUAUAAAUUGGACAGAUUUUCCUUUUCAUCUGCACAGCCAAUUAACUUUCGAAUCCGAGUUUUAUUGCGCUUGUGCCACCGAAAUAUGAGUCCUAGUAGAAUAGUUGCCUAUAGACCCUCAACUUUUGCUUGGUUCUGCAUCUUUUUUCUGUGUUGUUCUGUUCAUGGUCAACUUGAUUACAAGUUUUACGAUGAUGCUUGUCCCAACUUAACCAGGAUCGUUCGCUAUGGUGUCUGGUCUGCCAUCUACAACGAAACUCGAAUGGCUG
rnacentral:lncRNA from 1 species